rnacentral:tRNA from 1 species
AGUAAUGAAAUAAAAUUUAUAAUUAGUUUCGACCUAAAAUUAGGGUUAUUAAACCCCUUGCUU